GGACGAACGCUGGCGGGCGUGGAUUGGGCAUGCAAGUCGAACGGUAUCAUCCUUUCGGGGGUGAGAGAGUGGCGAACUGGUGAGUAACACGUAGGUUAUCUACCCUCAAGACGGGGACAACCCAGGGAAACUUGGGCUAAUACCGGAUGUGAGCAACUUUUAGUGUUUGAAAGGUGGCGUAAGCUGUCGCUUGGGGAUGAGCCUGCGUCCUAUUAGUUAGUUGGUGAGGUAACGGCUCACCUAGGCAAUGAUAGGUAGGCGGCCUUAACGGGUGGUCGCCCACACUGGGAUUGAGAUACGGCCCAGACUCCUACGGGAGGCAGCAGUCGAGAAUAGUCUACAAUGGUCGGAAGACUGAUAGUGCGACGCCGCGUGAACGAUGAAUCCCUUCGGGGUGUAAAGUUCUUUUAUAUGUGAGCAGUGCUUCUUAUAUUAACAGUAUGGGGAGAGAGAUAUUAGCAUAUGAAUAAGCAACGGCUAACUCCGUG
rnacentral:rRNA from 1 species